ensembl:lncRNA novel transcript, sense overlapping BRMS1L
GGGGAGAGAAGGUCCUGCUGUCUAUGGGCAAGCCUGAGCACAGAGGCUGCUCUGCUGGUGGGGGUGGGGUCACUUCUCUCAGCCCCAGACUGUCAGCUCUCAGGAUUAUCCACCUCGGCUCCUGGUUGCAGCAACUGCUGUGGCAGUAUGUGGAGCGAGCACCUCUGGCUCCCAACUUCUCCUGACUGAGCUGGCCACUCGCUUCCUUCUCCUCUGUGCCUCAGGCGCUUGCUGAGACUUCUCUGUUGGACUCUAGUGCUCUCUCCUGGAUGUUCUAUUCGAGGUGUGCUUAUCUCUUCAUAAUUUUGGGUCUUCUUUCUGGAGAGGCUCUGCCGCACUAAGCUCUCUACAUGGCCGAGGCACCAGACCAGAAUGCGCCCUUUCGACAGGCAGAGAGAGCCAAAGGGGAAAAGAGCUGAGUCAAGGCUGCCAAGUUCCUGCUUCCAGCCCUACCAGCCGGUCACUCGCGCCUUGCAAUGAGGAAACCAGGAGUCCUAUCUAGAGCCUUUCCAUAGUUGUGGGAAAGAAGAUGGGUAAAGUUAUUGUUAAUCUACAGAGGAAGGAAUGAUGCCAAGUUUUUCAAGGCUUCCAGAGUCACAGGAGGAGUCACUUGGUAAAUCCAGGAGCAGAAACCAGGUACCAGUUGGAAGACCACAAUGUGUUUGUUCAGACCUGUGGGCCUCCUGGAUCCUUAGCAAAAGACCACACAGACAAGUGUUGAAUGCAGCUUUUAAAAGUAUGGAAGGGACAGUAAGACAGUUCUAAGCGUGGACUAGAAUAUAAUUUAAGGUUUCUGUGACACGGUGUUAGGACUCUUUCCUAGAAUUAUGAGAGCUGAACUAACAGCUCCCAGAUAACUGAAGCAUAAUAAUUAAUCUAGAAAAGCGGCCUCUUCUUUUCUGUGGUUGAACCUAAGUGUAGUUUUUACUUUUAACUAAAACUAGGUCAAUUAAGACCAUUGGAAUUCUGUGACUGAGGAUGUGUGGUGUUUAUUGGGGAUUUAAAAUAAGAUUUUUGUUCUUUUAUAAAUUUUAAUAUAAAUAGAUUGUUUUCCCUAUAGUAUUUAGUGUUAAUUAAUGGGGCUGACACAAUUAAUGGCAUCAAGAACAUAUAAUUAUGUUUAUUAUACUAAGAAAUUAUGCAAUUACGUAGUUGUUUAAUAGGUUAAGUGAUCUUAUAGAUAUUUUUAUCGUUUUUGCAACAGCUUUAUCCUGAUUUCUUUGUGAGAAAGCUUUUAAUGUUUCAAAAAUGUUGAGACAGACUUUUGUUAAAUUAAUCGCAUGAAAAAUAGUAUAUCUUUUUCAGUAACUGGGGAUUUUCAUAAAAGCCAUCAAAGAUAUAAUAUUAGAAGAUCUGCUGUUAAGAUAGCUGUUGUCAUAAAAAACUGUUGAUGAAUUUUGAAUUUUGACUAUUAACUGUCCAUGCUAAUCAGAUAUUCAGAGAACAAUAAACAGCAUUUGCUAAAUUCAUUUUUAA